AGAGUUUGAUCCUGGCUCAGGAUGAACGCUNGCGGCAGGCCUAAUACAUGCAAGUCGAGCGGUGGUAGUAAUACCAUAGCGGCAAACGGGUGCGUAACACGUACACAACAUGCCUUCAAGAGGAGGAUACACUUGGGAAACUGAGGACAAUACUCCAUAGCAUAACAACUUGGCAUCAAGGAGUUAUUAAAGCUACGGCGCUUGAAGAUUGGUGUGCGUCCUAUUAGCUAGUUGGUAGGGUAACGGCCUACCAAGGCUACGAUAGGUAGGGGAUGUGAGAGCAUGGUCCCCCACACGGGCACUGAGACACGGGCCCGACUCCUACGGGAGGCAGCAGUAAGGAAUAUUGGUCAAUGGAGGGAACUCUGAACCAGCCAUGCCGCGUGCAGGAAGAAGGUCCUCUGGAUUGUAAACUGCUUUUAUAAGAGACGAAAAAGCGAGAUUUAUCUUGUGUUGACGGUAUCUUGUGAAUAAGCACCGGCUAACUCCGUGCCAGCAGCCGCGGUAAUACGGAGGGUGCAAGCGUUAUCCGGAAUCACUGGGUUUAAAGGGUGCGUAGGCGGUCAAAUAAGUCAGUAUUGAAAGCUCCGGGCUCAACUCGGGAACUGGUAUUGAUACUGUUUGGCUGGAGUACGGGAGAGGUAGGCGGAAUGCGACAUGUAGCGGUGAAAUGCAUAGAUAUGUCGUAGAACACCGAUUGCGAAGGCAGCCUACUAAACCGGCACUGACGCUGAGGCACGAAAGCGUGGGGAUCAAACAGGAUUAGAUACCCCGGUAGU
rnacentral:rRNA from 1 species